rnacentral:rRNA from 1 species
UGCAGGGUAUAGACCCGAAACCCGGUGAUCUAGCCAUGGGCAGGUUGAAGGUUGGGUAACACUAACUGGAGGACCGAACCGACUAAUGUUGAAAAAUUAGCGGAUGACCUGUGGCUGGGGGUGAAAGGCCAAUCAAACCGGGAGAUAGCUGGUUCUCCCCGAAAGCUAUUUAGGUAGCGCCUCGUGAAUUCAUCUCCGGGGGUAGAGCACUGUUUCGGCUAGGGGGCCAUCCCGGCUUACCAACCCGAUGCAAACUGCGAAUACCGGAGAAUGUUAUCACGGGAGACACACGGCGGGUGCUAACGUCCGUCGUGAAGAGGGAAACAACCCAGACCGCCAGCUAAGGUCCCAAAGUCAUGGUUAAGUGGGAAACGAUGUGGGAAGGCCCAGACAGCCAGGAUGUUGGCUUAGAAGCAGCCAUCAUUUAAAGAAAGCGUAAUAGCUCACUGGUCGAGUCGGCCUGCGCGGAAGAUGUAACGGGGCUAAACCAUGCACCGAAGCUGCGGCAGCGACACUGUGUGUUGUUGGGUA